CCUUGGUUUAAAAAACCCUGUCAGUUGUUCUCUCUGGAGCAAUCUCUGUAAAUGCCAUAUGUUUGUAGAGCUCUUGUGUGGUUUAGGAUACAUGUCACUUUGCCCCCACGUGGUGCGACUACUUCCCGGAGGAGAACAAGAGACAAGACGACUGGAUACGGGACCCCUUUAGAGUGGAGAUGGGAAGCGUCACGUUGCCAAGCAACAAAGAAAAUCUGAUGGUGGAGCUGUCAUUUGAUCGCGGACUGAGCAUGCACUUCCCGGAAAUGACACCACCAAAGUUCUGGUGCAGCGUAAUGGGAUAGUAUCCUGUUCUCGCCUGUCAUGAAAUCAGAAUCAUGCUACCGUUCAGCACUACCUAUCUGUGUUAAAGUGGCUGAAAACUAAAGUUAUGAUUCACUAUUUUAAUUAUUAUUGUUAAUUCAUUCUGACAUGCAUAUGACAUUUUAUUGAACUGGUUAAAAACUUACACCUUUAAAAAACAUGUAAGGUUGUGAAACUAUUGACAUUGUAAUUGAUGAUUAAGAAUUUCUGCUGAUUGCUGUUUUUUAUAUUUUAAACACUGGUAUGUGUUACUGUUCAUUAACAUUAUUGGACUGGUUAUGAUGUCAUGUUCUGAGUCUGAUGAUUUCUUACACCCACUCCUGAACUGGUCACCUAAUUAAAUGGCCUAUUCUCUUCAACUGAUAAUAAAAGUUUGCUCAGUUAAU